GGCUGCAUGAAUAAUUACAAACGUAGAUACGAAGUUCUCUUUCCCACAUAGUCAUGCAUUAUGAAGAAGAAGAAUCCAGUUACACUCCAUCACCGAACACCAUUAUCAACUUCGGCACUCCCUCGGCAAUCGUGUUCUCGUUUCACUUUCAGCGACUGAGAGCUUCUCACUUUCAUACAUUAAACAGUCACGCAGGUUCAGACCAAACAAUUCGGAAUUAACAAAGCCUAUUAGGCCUUAUUGGAUGUUUAUUGAAAAUGCAUCUAUUGUGGUUUUUAGAUUUAUUGAUUUUUGUGAUGUGCGUCCAACUCGGAUUGACGUCUGCCAGCACAGAUCAAUUCUCAAAUGAAUUUGUUGAGUGUCCAGAAGGAACCUACUUCUCCCACCAAUAUUGCUUGGAGUGCCCCUCGGGUCAUUUUUGUCCUGGAAAUGAAUCAGCGGCUCAGAGAUGUGGCUUGGGAACAUUCAAUCCGUAUACGGGGAAAAGCAGAAGCACUGACUGCAAGGUAAACUGGUGUCAAACUCAAGGCCCGGGGGCCAGA